rnacentral:rRNA from 1 species
CCCUAGUAACGGCGAGUGAAGCGGGAAGAGCUCAAGCUUAAAAUCUCCGUGCAAGUUUUGUGCGGCGAAUUGUAGUCUAUAGAGGCGUGGUCAGCGUGGGCGCUUGGGGCAAGUUCCUUGGAAGAGGACAGCAUGGAGGGUGAUACUCCCGUUCAUCCCUGAGUGGCUCGUGCGUACGACCCGUUUUCUUUGAGUCGCGUUGUUUGGGAAUGCAGCGCAAAGUAGGUGGUAAAUUCCAUCUAAAGCUAAAUAUUGGUGCGAGACCGAUAGCGAACAAGUACCGUGAGGGAAAGAUGAAAAGAACUUUGAAAAGAGAGUUAAAGAGUACCUGAAACUGCUGAAAGGGAACCGAAUCGUUUCCAGUGUCUAUAAUCUGUGGCAUAUUUCAUUGGCGAGCGUUUGCGUGCGUGUGCUGUGGCAGUGGCUUUUUUGGCUGCGCCUGGUGUGUGUGGUGUGAGUGUUUGCUGGUGCCCUGUGCUGCGGUGGGACGUCAAGGUCAGUUCGUAUGCUGCGGGAAAUGGCUGCCGAGGAGGUAGGGCUUACGCUCCGCGUUUGUCUGUUAUAUCUUGGUGGACGAGUCGUCGCGGUUGGGACUGAGGUGCCUACAACGUGCUUUUGAGUGGGUUUGUGUCUCCGUGUGCGCCGUGUGCGGAUAGCUUGCUAUGCGUGUGUGGUUGUGUGUGGAUUGAUGCGGGCCUUAACUUGUCGCCGUUCGGGACGU